rnacentral:rRNA from 1 species
CCUACGGGAGGCUGCAGUGGGGAAUAUUGCACAAUGGGGGAAACCCUGAUGCAGCGACGCCGCGUGAGUGAAGAAGUAAUUCGGUAUGUAAAGUUCUAUCAGCAGGGAAGAAAAUGAUGGUACUUGAGUAAGAAGCCCCGGCGAACUACGUGCCAGCAGCCGCGGUAAUACGUAGGGGGCAAGCGUCAUCCGGAUUUACUGGGUGUAAAGGGAGCGUAGACGGGAGUGCAAGUCAGGAGUGAAAGGCGAAGGCUCAACCCCCGUACUGCUCUGGAAACUGUUCGGCUGGAGUGCAGGAGGGGUAAGUGGAAUUCCUAGUGUAGCGGUGGAAUGCGUAGAUAUUAGGAGGAACACCAGUGGCGAAGGCGGGUUACUGGACUGUAACUGACGUUGAGGCUCGAAAGCGUGGGGAGCAAACAGGAUUAGAUACCCGGGUAGUC